GAUGAACGCUGGCGGCGUGCCUCAAACAUGCAAGUCGAGCGGGGCUAUGUAAUAUCGCAAGGUAGAACAUAGCCUAGCGGCGAACGGGUGAGUAACACGUGGGUAACCUGCCUGGAAGACAGGGAUAACGAUUCGAAAGGGUCGCUAAUACCUGAUAAUAUCCUUUCAUCGCAUGGUGAUAGGAAGAAAGGGGAAACCCGCUUUCAGAUGGGCCCGCGUCCCAUCAGCUAGUUGGUAAGGUAAAGGCUUACCAAGGCGACGACGGGUAGCCGGUCUGAGAGGAUGUACGGCCACACUGGGACUGAGAUACGGCCCAGACUCCUACGGGAGGCAGCAGUUGGGAAUCUUAGGCAAUGGACGAAAGUCUGACCUAGCGACGCCGCGUGAGGGAAGAAGGCCUUCGGGUUGUAAAACCCUGUCCUUGGGGAAGAAGGAAGUGACGGUACCCAAGGAGGAAGCCCCGGUAACUACGUG
rnacentral:rRNA from 1 species